rnacentral:rRNA from 1 species
CCUACGGGAGGCAGCAGUGGGGAAUAUUGGACAAUGGGCGCAAGCCUGAUCCAGCCAUGCCGCGUGAGUGAUGAAGGCCUUAGGGUUGUAAAGCUCUUUUGUCAGGGAGGCGGUACCUGAAGAAUAAGCACCGGCUAACUUCGUGCCAGCAGCCGCGGUAAUACGAAGGGUGCUAGCGUUGUUCGGAAUCACUGGGCGUAAAGCGCGCGUAGGCGGCUUUUCAAGUCAGGGGUGAAAUCCCACAGCUCAACUGUGGAACUGCCCUUGAAACUGUAAAGCUAGAGUGUCGGAGGGGAUAGCGGAAUUGCUAAUGUAGAGGUGAAAUUCGUAGAUAUUAGCAGGAACACCGGUGGCGAAGGCGGCUAUCUGGCGCAACUGACGCUGAGGCGCGAAAGCGUGGGGAUCAAACAGGAUUAGAUACCCUUGUAGUC